GCACUCUUAGCUCAAUGGUAGAGCGUUCCGUUCACAUCGGAAAGGCUACAGGUCCGAUUCCUGUAGAGUGCA
rnacentral:tRNA from 1 species